rnacentral:snRNA from 1 species
GGAUGUGAGGGCGAUCUGGCUGCGACAUCUGUCACCCCAUUGAUCGCCAGGGUUGAUUCGGCUGAUCUGGCUGGCUAGGCGGGUGGCCCCCUCCCCCCUCCCUCAAGGUCCAAAAGUGAAUCCUUACAAAUGAUAGUCUCUUUUAAAUACUAAAACUCUUUUUUUUCAUAUUAAACAUUUUAAAUGAAAAGCAUUUUAGAA